rnacentral:piRNA from 1 species
UCACAAGAGAGCCAUGAGGUAGGCAUGAGG